rnacentral:rRNA from 1 species
ACGAACGCUGGCGGCGUGCUUAACACAUGCAAGUCGAACGGAAAGGCCCUGCUUUUGUGGGGUGCUCGAGUGGCGAACGGGUGAGUAACACGUGAGUAACCUGCCUUGACUUUGGGAUAACUUCAGGAAACUGGGGCUAAUACCGGAUAGGAGCUCCUGCUGCAUGGUGGGGGUUGGAAAGUUUCGGCGGUUGGGGAUGGACUCGCGGCUUAUCAGCUUGUUGGUGGGGUAGUGGCUUACCAAGGCUUUGACGGGUAGCCGGCCUGAGAGGGUGACCGGCCACAUUGGGACUGAGAUACGGCCCAGACUCCUACGGGAGGCAGCAGUGGGGAAUAUUGCACAAUGGGCGGAAGCCUGAUGCAGCAACGCCGCGUGCGGGAUGACGGCCUUCGGGUUGUAAACCGCUUUCGCCUGUGACGAAGCGUGAGUGACGGUAAUGGGUAAAGAAGCACCGGCUAACUACGUG